rnacentral:rRNA from 1 species
AUUGAACGCUGGCGGCAGGCUUAACACAUGCAAGUCGAGCGGGGAAAGGUAGCUUGCUACCUGACCUAGCGGCGGACGGGUGAGUAAUGCUUAGGAAUCUGCCUAUUAGUGGGGGACAACAUUCCGAAAGGAAUGCUAAUACCGCAUACGCCCUACGGGGGAAAGCAGGGGAUCUUCGGACCUUGCGCUAAUAGAUGAGCCUAAGUCAGAUUAGCUAGUUGGUGGGGUAAAGGCCUACCAAGGCGACGAUCUGUAGCGGGUCUGAGAGGAUGAUCCGCCACACUGGGACUGAGACACGGCCCAGACUCCUACGGGAGGCAGCAGUGGGGAAUAUUGGACAAUGGGCGAAAGCCUGAUCCAGCCAUGCCGCGUGUGUGAAGAAGGCCUUUUGGUUGUAAAGCACUUUAAGCGAGGAGGAGGCUACUUGGAUUAAUACUCUAGGAUAGUGGACGUUACUCGCAGAAUAAGCACCGGCUAACUCUGUGCCAGCCGCCGCCGUAAUAC